rnacentral:rRNA from 1 species
CCUACGGGAGGCAGCAGUAGGGAAUAUUGCUCAAUGGGGGAAACCCUGAAGCAGCAACGCCGCGUGGAGGAUGAAGGUUUUCGGAUUGUAAACUCCUUUUGUUAGAGAAGAUAAUGACGGUAUCUAACGAAUAAGCACCGGCUAACUCCGUGCCAGCAGCCGCGGUAAUACGGAGGGUGCAAGCGGUACUCGGAAUCACUGGGCGUAAAGAGGGCGUAGGCGGGAUAGCAAGUCAGAUGUGAAAUCCUAUGGCUAAACCAUAGAACUGCAUUUGAAACUGUUAUUCUAGAGUAUGGGAGAGGUAGGUGGAAUUCUUGGUGUAGGGGUAAAAUCCGUAGAGAUCAAGAGGAAUACUCAUUGCGAAGGCGACCUGCUAGAACAUAACUGACGCUGAGGCGCGAAAGCGUGGGGAGCAAACAGGAUUAGAUACCCCUGUAGUC